GAAGGCACGACAUUGCUCACAUUGCUUCCAGUGUAUUAGCGGGGCGCUUAUCAGA
rnacentral:misc_RNA from 1 species